UAGGGAGUAGUAUAAUGAAGUACUUAAGAUUUUGAGUCUUUAAGUGUGGGUUCGAAUCCCGUCUUUCUA
rnacentral:tRNA from 1 species